GGACUAAACUAAAAAUACAAAAUUUCCCUAACAACUGUAAGUAGUUCCUCCUAUAACUUAACUUUUAAAUUCUCACAUGAACAAGUGAAGCUUGCUCAGCUGGUAAAAGCACUUCCACCUACGGCUGUUGGGUUCGAGUCAUGUGGAAACACUAUAGAUCCUCCUAAUUUGGAAAAGGGUUUUAAAAAAAGAAAAAAAAAUCCACACAUGACAUUCCUCUCGCUGCAUACAAGUGGAAAUCAAUGGAACGCUUGGAAAGCCUGGAAGAUACGAGGAAGGAAUUGGCGAGGUGGGACUAUGCAGUGUUCUAUUAUCAAAAGGACAAUAAAGGAGGCACGAUGCGGUGAGCAGGGUCUUGUUAAAUCGUUUAUGAGGAUUUACGAGCAAAUAAAGGAGCAGAUGGCCACCGAUGAGAGUUCUCUUUGGAAAAUGACUCCAACACCCUUGGGUGAUGCGAAACCAUACAGAUUUGACGAUUUGAAAGAUAUGAUUGAAAACUUUGACUAGGAUAUUGCAAAGACUAUGCACGGGAGAUUGUACAAAGGUGUCAUUCGCGAUGACAAAGGCGGACAAGUGCUAGAAGUUACUAUCAAGACAUAGGAUUUCUUUUUUCCAAACCAGAGGUACUAUGGUGACCAUCGGAUUUUGUGUAUGUUACAUAUCGGAUCUCGUUUCUCUUUC